GACGAACGCUGGCGGCGUGCUUAACACAUGCCAGUCGAACGGAAAGGCCCUGCUUGCAGGGUGCUCGAGUGGCGAACGGGUGAGUAACACGUGGGUGAUCUGCCCCUUACUUUGGGAUAAGCCUGGGAAACUGGGUCUAAUACUGGAUAGGACCAUGCUGUAGGUGGUGUGGUGGAAAGAUUAGUUUCGGUAAGGGAUGAGCUCGCGGCCUAUCAGCUUGUUGGUGGGGUAAUGGCCUACCAAGGCGUCGACGGGUAGCCGGCCUGAGAGGGUGGACGGCCACAUUGGGACUGAGAGACGGCCCAGACUCCUACGGGAGGCAGCAGUGGGGAAUAGUGCACAAUGGGCGCAAGCCUGAUGCAGCGACGCCGCGUGGGGGAUGACGGCCUUCGGGUUGUAAACUCCUUGCAGCCAUGACGAAGCCCUUGUGGUGACGGUAGUGGUAGAAGAAGCACCGGCUAACUACGUG
rnacentral:rRNA from 1 species